CCUACGGGAGACAGCAGUGGGGGAUAUUGCACAAUGGGCGCAAGCCUGAUGCAGCGACGCCGCGUGGGGGAUGACGGCUUUCGGGUUGUAAACCUCUUUCGUCGGGGGACAAGGCUCUGCUUGGUGGUGGGGUUGAGGGUACCCGGUGAAGAAGCGCCGGCUAACUACGUGCCAGCAGCCGCGGUAAUACGUAGGGCGCGAGCGUUGUCCGGAAUUAUUGGGCGUAAAGGGCUCGUAGGCGGCUUGUCGCGUCUGCUGUGAAAAUGCGGGGCUUAACUCCGUACGUGCAGUGGGUACGGGCAGGCGAGAGUGCGGUAGGGGUGACUGGAAUUCCUGGUGUAGCGGGGGAAUGCGCAGAUAUCAGGAGGAACACCGAUGGCGAAGGCAGGUCACUGGGCUGUUACUGACGCUGAGGCGCGAAAGCCAGGGGAGCGAACGGGAUUAGAUACCCUAGUAGUC
rnacentral:rRNA from 1 species